CAGGUGUUGUUGGGUAGGGGAGCGUUCUGUAAGCCUGCGAAGGUGGCCUGUGAGGGUUGCUGGAGGUAUCAGAAGUGCGAAUGCUGACAUAAGUAACGAUAAAGCGGGUGAAAAGCCCGCUCGCCGGAAGACCAAGGGUUCCUGUCCAACGUUAAUCGGGGCAGGGUGAGUCGACCCCUAAGGCGAGGCCGAAAGGCGUAGUCGAUGGGAAACGGGUUAAUAUUCCCGUACUUGGUGUUACUGCGAAGGGGGGACGGAGAAGGCUAUGUUGGCCGGGCGACGGUUGUCCCGGUUUAAGCGUGUAGGUGUGUGUUCCAGGUAAAUCCGGUUCACUUUAACACUGAGGCGUGAUGACGAGGCACUACGGUGCUGAAGCAACAAAUGCCCUGCUUCCAGGAAAAGCCUCUAAGCAUCAGGUAACAUCAAAUCGUACCCCAAACCGACACAGGUGGUCAGGUAGAGAAUACCAAGGCGCUUGAGAGAACUCGGGUGAAGGAACUAGGCAAAAUGGUGCCGUAACUUCGGGAGAAGGCACGCUGACACGUAGGUGAAGUGAUUUACUCAUGGAGCUGAAGUCAGUCGAAGAUACCAGCUGGCUGCAACUGUUUAUUAAAAACACAGCACUGUGCAAACACGAAAGUGGACGUAUACGGUGUGACGCCUGCCCGGUGCCGGAAGGUUAAUUGAUGGGGUCAGCGCAAGCGAAGCUCCUGAUCGAAGCCCCGGUAAACGGCGGCCGUAACUAUAACGGUCCUAAGGUAGCGAAAUUCCUUGUCGGGUAAGUUCCGACCUGCACGAAUGGCGUAAUGAUGGCCAGGCUGUCUCCACCCGAGACUCAGUGAAAUUGAACUCGCUGUGAAGAUGCAGUGUACCCGCGGCAAGACGGAAAGACCCCGUGAACCUUUACUAUAGCUUGACACUGAACAUUGAGCCUUGAUGUGUAGGAUAGGUGGGAGGCUUUGAAGUGUGGACGCCAGUCUGCAUGGAGCCGGCCUUGAAAUACCACCCUUUAAUGUUUGAUGUUCUAACGUGGACCCGUGAUCCGGGUUGCGGACAGUGUCUGGUGGGUAGUUUGACUGGGGCGGUCUCCUCCUAAAGAGUAACGGAGGAGCACGAAGGUUGGCUAAUCCUGGUCGGACAUCAGGAGGUUAGUGCAAUGGCAUAAGCCAGCUUGACUGCGAGCGUGACGGCGCGAGCAGGUGCGAAAGCAGGUCAUAGUGAUCCGGUGGUUCUGAAUGGAAGGGCCAUCGCUCAACGGAUAAAAGGUACUCCGGGGAUAACAGGCUGAUACCGCCCAAGAGUUCAUAUCGACGGCGGUGUUUGGCACCUCGAUGUCGGCUCAUCACAUCCUGGGGCUGAAGUAGGUCCCAAGGGUAUGGCUGUUCGCCAUUUAAAGUGGUACGCGAGCUGGGUUUAGAACGUCGUGAGACAGUUCGGUCCCUAUCUGCCGUGGGCGCUGGAGAACUGAGGGGGGCUGCUCCUAGUACGAGAGGACCGGAGUGGACGCAUCACUGGUGUUCGGGUUGUCAUGCCAAUGGCACUGCCCGGUAGCUAAAUGCGGAAGAGAUAAGUGCUGAAAGCAUCUAAGCACGAAACUUGCCCCGAGAUGAGUUCUCCCUGAGACUUUAGGUCUCCUGAAGGAACGUUGAAGACGACGACGUUGAUAGGCCGGGUGUGUAAGCGCAGCGAUGCGUUGAGCUAACCGGUACUAAUGAACCGUGAGGCUUAACCUUACA
rnacentral:rRNA from 1 species